rnacentral:misc_RNA from 1 species
GAAAUGCGAUACGUAGUGUGAAUUGCGGAAUUCCGUGAACCAUCGAAUCUUUGAACGCAUAUUGCACUCGAGCCCUCGGGCGAGAGUAUGUCUGCCUCAGCGUCGGGUUAAUAUCACUCCACAACACCCCUGUGUGUUCGUGCCGAGUAGACCUGGCUGUUCCAGCAAGCCAGCAAUUUUCGGAUUGUUGCAAAUUGCGAGCUGGAUCGGCUGAAAAGCAGAGGUUAGCCAAGGACCCGUAAUUGGGCCGCAACUGGGUAGGCAGCUUAACAUCUGCUUCAUUUCUAGUUGUUGGCUUGGGACUUUAGCUUGACCCGAAAACAGGAACCUAUGUUUAUUUCCUCGACCUGAGCUCAGGCAAGAACACCCGCUGAACUUAAGC